UACGGGGGGAGCAAGCGUUGUUCGGAUUUACUGGGCGUAAAGGGCGCGUAGGCGGCGUAACAAGUCACUUGUGAAAUCUCCGGGCUUAACUCGGAAAGGUCAGCCGAUACUGCGGGGCUAGAGUGCAGAAGGGGCAACUGGAAUUCUCGGUGUAGCGGUGAAAUGCGUAGAUAUCGAGAGGAACACCUGCGGCGAAGGCGGGUUGCUGGGCUGACACUGACGCUGAUUGUGCGAAAGCUAGGGGAGCGAACGGG
rnacentral:rRNA from 1 species